GACGAACGCUGGCGGCGUGCUUAACACAUGCAAGUCGAACGGUGAAGGUGGAGAGCUUGCUCUCUACUGGAUCAGUGGCGAACGGGUGAGUAACACGUGGGUAACCUGCCCCAAACUUUGGGAUAACUCUCCGAAAGGAGAGCUAAUACCGGAUAACAUUUUGAACCGCAUGGUUCGAAAUUGAAAGGCGGCUUCGGCUGUCACUUAUGGAUGGACCCGCGUCGCAUUAGCUAGUUGGUGAGGUAACGGCUCACCAAGGCAACGAUGCGUAGCCGACCUGAGAGGGUGAUCGGCCACACUGGGACUGAGACACGGCCCAGACUCCUACGGGAGGCAGCAGUAGGGAAUCUUCCGCAAUGGACGAAAGUCUGACAGAGCAACGCCGCGUGAGUGAUGAAGGCUUUCGGGUCGUAAAACUCUGUUGUUAGGGAAGAACAAGUGCUAGUUGAAUAAGCUGGCACCUUGACGGUACCUAACCAGAAAGCCACGGCUAACUACGUGCCAGCCGCCGCGGUAA
rnacentral:rRNA from 1 species